GUUUGUGAGUUUGCGUACUGUGUGUCAUACCCGUCCGUUUGUUCUGUUCUGUCACUAUUUGUGUAUAUUGUGGGUGACUCGUUUUCCGGUUAGAGGGGAAAAGUGGACAGGAGGGUUUGCUCAUCCUGGGAGCUCGAGAAGCCAUCUUUGCCCUGGAACUCAAGAACAUCACACACAAGGAGGCUAUGGAACAGGUAUGCUAUUAUGCAAAGCCCUGAUCUGCAACUCAUCCUGAUCUGCAACAAAACAACAAGAAGUUUGGAAUGGAAAGUGUACAUUUGAUCCUUUCCAGAGAUGCGCCUCUGAAUUUGUCG